UCCUUUAAAGCAAGCAGGCUCUCUGUCCCUCAGCGGCUCUUCUCCCGCUUUGCUGUUUUAAAGCGAGCCACGGAGGAGGGAAGGAAGGGGAACCAUGGAUCCUCUGCUCACGACUGCAGCAGAUCCCCCCGGCCAUCCGUAGGCAUUCACUCCAUAACACGCACAGACAUUUCCCCUUACUUUCUAGGAGGAAAACAGUGCGUGUUAUGGAGCGAAAAAUACGGUACUUAAAAAAAAAAUUCAAUUCAUUAUGGAUCAUUUCCCAAUAUACUUUUACAAGUCCACCACAUAUGAAAGUCCACCUCUUGCUUAGAUGUAUAAGACCGAAUUAGUGCUGGAGAUGCAUAGAAUCAGAACUGUAGACUUGGAAGGGACCCCAAGGUCAUCUAGUCCAACCCCCUACAAUCCUGGAAGAAUAAAUACCCACUGUCAAUUAAGCAGUGGUCUGAGCACCUCACUGCUUUGGCUACAUACUAACACAUUUUAUAUAGGCGUAAAUUUUGUGUGGAUACCUGUUUACACAUCUGUAAGACUUGCAUUAACUUACAGGUUUUAUUUAAGAUCUAUACAGAAGAUCGCAAGAUGCGGGUGGUGCUGUGGGUUAAACCACAGAGCCUAGGGCUUGCCGAUCAGAAGGUCGGCAGUUCGAAUCCCUGCGAUGGGGUGAGCUCCCAUUUCUCAGUCCCAGCUCCUACCCACCUAGCAGUUCGAAAGCACGUCAAAGUGCAAGUAGAUAAAUAGGUACCGCUCUGGCGGGAAGGUCAACGGCGUUUCCGUGCGCUGCUCUGGUUCGCCAGAGGCGGUUUAGUCAUGCUGGCCACAUGACCCGGAAGCUGUAUGCCGGCUCCCUCGGCCAGUAAAGCAAGAUGAGCGCCACAACCCCAGAGUCGGUCACGACUGGACCUAAUGGUCAGGGGUCCCUUUAACUUUACCUUACAGAAGAUCUCUAUGUUCACAAUGUGAAUUGAUGAUUGCUGUUAUUGUUUUCGAUGUCUUUCUUUCUUCUUUAAUGUACUUACUAUUUCUUCCCUCUUUUUUCUUUUGCCAUGUUGAAUGUGCUAAGAAAAAUAAAUCAAUAAGGCGUGACAGGGAGAUGUUCUCUUCUCCCCCAGGAUCUGGUGACCUUCCAGGAGGUGGCUGUGCAUUUCACAGAGGAGGAGUGGGCCCUGCUGGAUCAGGACCAAAGGUCUCUUCACAGGGAAAUCAUGGAGGAAAAUUGCUGGAUCGUGGCUCCUCUGGGGAUCGUGGUGAUGUUUUGAAAGGAGGAAUAGAGAAUCUGCACCUCCUAGUCCGGGAUGCUGUUGGACUACAAUGCCCAUGAUUGACAGAUGGUAUCUAACUUUGAGUAGACUACAGAGCCAUAGCUAGGUGAUAUUGCACCCCUGGCAGAACCAUCCAGAUUGCACCUCCCGCCACAGACAAAUUAGCUCUUCUUUCCACCUCUCCUCCAAUUCUUGGUAUGAGCUUUCGUGUCUGUUUCAAUUCCAUUGGCUUCCUCAACUGUCUGAGCGAUAGCCUCCAACUCCUGAGAUGAGGAAGCUGACCACCAUUUUGCUUUACCUCAAGGCUGUAUCCAACCAAGAUACACUCAGAAUGAACCCACUCCAAUUAAUGGACCUAAGCUUAACCAAUUGGCAUUCAAUAUUUAUUGAUGUUUCUAAUUAUGAUUUACGUAUAUUUUGCUGGGUUUAUCCUUACAUAGUGUACUCCACAUUAUUAUAUUUUUUAAUGAAAGUGCAUAUUACAAAUUUGUAAAAAUAAAUUCAAAGAGCAGAACUAA